GAUGAAGAACGUAGCGAAAUGCGAUACGUAAUGUGAAUUGCAGAAUUCAGUGAAUCAUCGAGUCUUUGAACGCACAUUGCGCCCCCUGGUAUUCCGGGGGGCAUGCCUGUCCGAGCGUCAUUGCUGCCCUCAAGCACGGCUUGUGUGUUGGGCCUCCGUCCUCCUCCCGGGGGACGGGCCCGAAAGGCAGCGGCGGCACCGCGUCCGGUCCUCGAGCGUAUGGGGCUUCGUCACCCGCUCUUGUAGGCCCGGCCGGCGCUUGCCGACACAUCAAUCUUUUUUCCAGGUUGACCUCAGGUCAGGCGGGGCUACCCGCUGAGUUUAAGCAUAUCAAUAAGCGGAGGA
rnacentral:misc_RNA from 1 species